rnacentral:rRNA from 1 species
UACGGGGGGGGCAAGCGUUGUUCGGAACUACUGGGCGUAAAGGGCUCGUAGGCGGCCAACUAAGUCGGACGUGAAAUCCCCAGGCUCAACCUGGGAACUGCGUCUGAUACUGGAUGGCUUGAAUCCGGGAGAGGGAUGCAGAAUUCCAGGUGUAGCGGUGAAAUGCGUAGAUAUCUGGAGGAAUACCGGUGGCGAAGGCGGCAUCCUGGACCGGCAUUGACGCUGAGGAGCGAAAGCCAGGGGAGCAAACGGG